rnacentral:lncRNA from 1 species
CUGCAGCAGCUGGUCACACACGCACGGAGAGCGGAGCGGGGGCCCCCGGCCAAACCGUUACCACCCAUUAUUAUACAAACAGGUUACUCAGUAUGUCAAUAAUUUUAGAUACUGAGUUUUGAUACUUCACCGUUUUCCCAUGGGAGUAUUCAGAGGUUAAGUU